CUGACUGCUAUCGGAUUGAUACUAAGCCAUGCGAGUCAUUGUAGCAAUACAAGGCAGACGGCUCAGUAACGCGUAGUCAACCUACCCUAUGGACAGGGAUAACCUCGGGAAACUGAGAAUAAUACCAGAUAGAACAUUAUGCCUGGAAUGGUUUAUGUUUCAAAUAAUUUAUUGCCGUAGGAUGGGACUGCGGCCUAUCAGUUUGUUGGUGAGGUAAUGGCCCACCAAGACUAUUACAGGUACGGGCUCUGAGAGGAGUAGCCCGGAGAUGGGUACUGAGACACGGACCCAGGCCCUAUGGGGCGCAGCAGGCGAGAAAACUUUGCAAUGUGCGCAAGCACGACAAGGUUAAUCCGAGUGAUUUCUGCUAAAGGAAUCUUUUGUCAGUCCUAGAAACACUGUUGAAUAAGGGGUGGGCAAGUUCUGGUGUCAGCCGCCGCGGUAAAACCAGCACCUCAAGUGGUCAGGAUGAUUAUUGGGCCUAAAGCAUCCGUAGCCUGCUUUGUAAGUUUUCGGUUAAAUCCAUACGCUCAACGUAUGGGCUGCCGGAAAUACUGCAAAGCUAGGGAGUGGGAGAGGUAGACGGUACUCGGGAGGAAGGGGUAAAAUCCUUUGAUCUCUCGAUGACCACCUGUGGCGAAGGCGGUCUACCAGAACACGUCCGACGGUGAGGGAUGAAAGCUGGGGGAGCAAACCGGAUUAGAUACCCGGGUAGUCCCAGCUGUAAACUAUGCAAACUCAGUGAUGCAUUGGCUUGAUGCUAAUGCAGUGUUGCAGGGAAGCCGUUAAGUUUGCCGCCUGGGAAGUACGUACGCAAGUAUGAAACUUAAAGGAAUUGGCGGGGGAGCACCACAAGGGGUGAAGC
rnacentral:rRNA from 2 species